CAGCGUUGGGUCGCGGUGGCUGUGAGGGCGGAAGAAAAGGCCAGGCUGAGGGGAGGGUGGAGGGUGAAAAGCUCGGAUCUGUGUUUGGGGAAGGCCAGGCUUGCGCUCCUGGCCGGGUUCCGCGAAGGGAACCUUGGCUGACUUGGCUCGCGAGCAAAGGGCAGCGUCUGAGCUCCCGGCGUUCCAGGAGUGGCCUCUUGUAGGAGCACCUGAAAUGCAGCGUCUGGUGCACUAAGCCGUAGCGGCAGCAGCAGCCACAGCGACAGCGCUGGGGCCCUGUGUAGAAGCUCCAUCCCCCUUGUCUUUGUGCUUGCCUGCGUCCCCAGACUCAGAGAUUAUCUUAGAAGACCUAGGACUCCAAAAAUGUUUCCCCUGAAGGACGCUGAAAUGGGAGCCUUUACCUUCUUUGCCUCGGCUCUGCCACAUGAUGUUUGUGGAAGCAAUGGACUUCCUCUCACACCAAAUUCCAUCAAAAUUUUAGGGCGCUUUCAAAUCCUUAAAACCAUCACCCAUCCCAGACUCUGCCAGUAUGUGGAUAUUUCUAGGGGAAAGCAUGAACGACUAGUGGUCGUGGCUGAACAUUGUGAACGUAGUCUGGAAGACUUGCUUCGAGAAAGGAAACCUGUGAGCUGUUCAACGGUUUUGUGUAUAGCAUUUGAGGUUCUUCAGGGCUUGCAGUAUAUGAACAAACAUGGUAUAGUACACAGGGCAUUGUCUCCUCAUAAUAUCCUGUUGGACCGAAAGGGACAUAUUAAAUUGGCUAAAUUUGGACUUUAUCACAUGACAGCUCAUGGUGAUGAUGUUGAUUUCCCAAUAGGGUAUCCCUCAUACUUGGCCCCUGAGGUAAUUGCACAGGGAAUUUUCAAAACCACUGAUCACAUGCCAAGUAAAAAACCAUUGCCUUCUGGCCCCAAAUCAGAUGUAUGGUCUCUUGGAAUCAUUUUAUUUGAGCUUUGUGUGGGAAGAAAAUUAUUUCAGAGUUUGGAUAUUUCUGAAAGACUAAAAUUUUUGCUUACUUUGGACUGUGUAGAUGACACUUUAAUAGUUCUGGCUGAAGAGCAUGGUUGUUUGGACAUUAUAAAGGAGCUUCCUGAAACUGUGAUAGAUCUUUUGAAGAAGUGCCUCACCUUCCAUCCUUCUAAGAGGCCAACCCCAGAUGAAUUAAUGAAGGACAAAGUAUUCAGUGAGGUAUCACCUUUAUAUACCCCCUUUACCAAACCUGCCAGUCUGUUUUCAUCUUCUCUGAGAUGUGCUGAUUUAACUCUGCCUGAGGAUAUCAGUCAGUUGUGUAAAGAUAUAAAUAAUGAUUACCUGGCAGAAAGAUCUAUUGAAGAAGUUUAUUACCUUUGGUGUUUGGCUGGAGGUGACUUGGAGAAAGAGCUUGUCAACAAGGAAAUCAUUCGAUCCAAACCACCUAUCUGCACACUCCCCAAUUUUCUCUUUGAGGAUGGUGAAAGCUUUGGACAAGGUCGAGAUAGAAGCUCGCUUUUAGAUGAUACCACUGUGACAUUGUCGUUAUGCCAGCUAAGAAAUAGAUUGAAAGAUGUUGGUGGAGAAGCAUUUUACCCAUUACUUGAAGAUGACCAGUCUAAUUUACCUCAUUCAAACAGCAAUAAUGAGUUGUCUGCAGCUGCCACUCUCCCUUUAAUCAUCAGAGAGAAGGAUACAGAGUACCAACUAAAUAGAAUUAUUCUCUUUGACAGGCUGCUAAAGGCUUAUCCAUAUAAAAAAAACCAAAUCUGGAAAGAAGCAAGAGUUGACAUUCCUCCUCUUAUGAGAGGUUUAACCUGGGCUGCUCUUCUGGGAGUUGAGGGAGCUAUUCAUGCCAAGUAUGAUGCAAUUGAUAAAGACACUCCAAUUCCUACAGAUAGACAAAUUGAAGUGGAUAUUCCUCGCUGUCAUCAGUAUGAUGAACUGUUAUCAUCACCAGAAGGUCAUGCAAAAUUUAGGCGUGUAUUAAAAGCCUGGGUAGUGUCUCAUCCUGAUCUUGUGUAUUGGCAAGGUCUUGACUCACUCUGUGCUCCAUUCCUAUAUCUAAACUUCAAUAAUGAAGCCUUGGCUUAUGCAUGUAUGUCUGCUUUUAUUCCCAAAUACCUGUAUAACUUCUUCUUAAAAGACAACUCACAUGUAAUACAAGAGUAUCUGACUGUCUUCUCUCAGAUGAUUGCAUUUCAUGAUCCAGAGCUGAGUAAUCAUCUCAAUGAGAUUGGCUUCAUUCCAGAUCUGUAUGCCAUCCCUUGGUUUCUUACCAUGUUUACUCAUGUAUUUCCACUACACAAAAUUUUCCACCUCUGGGAUACCUUACUACUUGGGAAUUCCUCUUUCCCAUUCUGUAUUGGAGUAGCAAUUCUUCAGCAGCUGCGGGACCGGCUUUUGGCUAAUGGCUUUAAUGAGUGUAUUCUUCUCUUCUCCGAUUUACCAGAAAUUGACAUUGAACGCUGUGUGAGAGAAUCUAUCAACCUCUUUUGUUGGACUCCUAAAAGUGCUACUUACAGACAGCAUGCUCAACCUCCAAAGCCAUCUUCUGACAGCAGUGGAGUCAGAAGUUCGGCACCUUAUUUCUCUGCUGAGUGUCCAGAUCCUCCAAAGACAGAUCUGAAAAUACAUUAACAUAUACUCAUGCAAUCAUCUGCAUACCUACUCUUAAAUAAGAAGAAAUCUUUUUACAUGUAGGGAAGGAGAACGGCAAACAAAUUCCUAGACAGAGAUUGAUAUGGUUUGACUGUGUUCCCACCCAAAGUCUGAUCGUGAAUUGUAGUAAUUCCCAUGUGUCAAGGACAGGACCAGGUGGAGUAAUUGAAUAAUAGGCGCAAUUUCCCCUAUACUGUUCUCAUAAUAGUGACUGAGUUCUCAUAAGAUCUGUUGAUUUUCUAAUGGACUUCCUCCUUUGCUUGGCUCUCAUUCUCUUUCUUGCCACCAAGUAAAGAAGGACAUGUUUGCUUCCCAUUCUACCAUGACUGUAAGUUUCCUGAAGCCUGCCAAGCAUUGCUGAACUGUGAAACCUCUUUCCUUUAUAAAUUACCCAGUUUGGGGUAUGUCUUUAUGAGCAGUAUGAGAACAAACUAAUAUAUUAAAUAGGUACUGGUACAGUUGGGUGCUGCUAUAAGGAUACCGAAAAUGUGGAAGUGAUUUUGGAACUGGAUAACAGGCUGAGGUUGGAACAGUUUGGAGGGCUCAGAAGAAGACAUGAAAAUAUGGGAAAAUUUGGAGCUUCCUAGAGACUUGGAAUACUCAGAAGACAGGCAGAUGUGGGAAAAUUUGGAACUCCCUAGAGACUUAUUGAAUGGCUUUGACCAAAAUGCUGAUAGUGAUAUGGAUGAUGAAGUCCAGGCUGAGAUGGUCUCAGAUGGAGAUGAGGAACUUUUUGGGAACUGGAGUAAAGGUCACGCUUGCUAUGCUUUAGCAAAGAAACUGGCAGCAUUUUGCCCCUGCCCUGGAGAUAUGUGGAACUUUGAACUUGAGAGAGAUGAUUUAGGGUAUCUGGCAGAAGAAAUUUCCAAGUGGCAAAGUAUCCAAGAGGAAGCAGACCAUAAAAGUUUGGAAAAUUUGCAGCCUGAUGAUGUGAAGAAAAGAAAAACCCAUUUCCUGGGGAGAAAUUCAAGCCAGCUGCAGACAUUUGCAUAAGCAGUGAGGAGCCAAAUGCUAAUCACCAAAGCAAUGGGGAAAAUGUCUCCAGGGCAUGUCAGAGACCUUCACAGCAGUCUCUCCCAUCAUAGGCCUGGAGGCCUAGGACAGAAAAAUGGUUUCCUAGGCUGCUGCUAUUCUGUGCAGUGUCAGAACAUGUUCCCCUGUGUCCCAGUGACUUCAGCUUCAGCUGUGGCUGAAAGAGGCCAAGGCACAGCUCAGACCCUUGCUUCUAAGGGUGUAAACCCUACACCUUGCAGUUUCCCACAUGCUGUUUGGCCUGUUGGUGCAUAGAAGUCAAGAAUUGAGGUUUGAGAACCUCCACCUAGAUUUCGGAGGAUGUAUGGAAAUGCCUGGAUAUCCAGGCAGAAUUUUGCUGGAGAGGCAGAGCCCUAAUGGAGAACCUCUGCUAAGGCAGUGCAGAAGGGAAAUGUUGGGUCAGAACUCCCACACAGAGUCCCCACUGGGGCACUGCCUAGUGGAGCAGUGAGAAGAGGGCCACCAUCCUCCAGACCCCAGAAUGGUAGAUCCACCAACAGCUUGCACUAUGCAUCUGGAAAAGCUGCAGACAGUCAACACUAUCCUAUGAAAGCAGUGGAAAGUGGGGCUGUAUCUUGCAAAGCCACAGAGGCGGGGCUGCCCAAGGCCGUGGGUGCCCAUCUCUUGCAUCAGCAUGACCUGGAUGUGUGACAUGAAGUCAAGGGAGAUCAUUUUGGAGCUUUAAGAUCUGGCUGCCCUGCUGAAUUUUGGACUUGCAUGAGGCCUGUAGCCCCGUUGUUUUGGCCAAUUUCUCCCAAUUGGAAUGGGUAUAUUUUUCUAUUGCCGGUACCCCCAUUGUAUCUAGGAAGUAACUAACUUGCUUUUGAUUUUACAGUCUCGUAGGUAGAAGAGACUGCUUUGUCUCAGAUGAGACUUUGGACUGUGGACUUUUGAGUUAACCCUGAAAUAAGGCUUUGGGAGACUAGAAAAGGCGUAACUGUGGUUUGAAAUGUGAGGACAUGAGAUUUGGGAGUGGCUGGGAUGGAAACAUGUAAUCUAACUUUUAAAUAAAUGGAAUCAUAGCA